UUAACACAUGCAAGUCGAGCGGGGAAGAGUAGCUUGCUACUUUACCUAGCGGCGGACGGGUGAGUAAUGCUUAGGAAUCUGCCUAUUAGUGGGGGACAACAUUCCGAAAGGGAUGCUAAUACCGCAUACGUCCUACGGGAGAAAGCAGGGGACCUUCGGGCCUUGCGCUAAUAGAUGAGCCUAAGUCGGAUUAGCUAGUUGGUGGGGUAAAGGCCUACCAAGGCGACGAUCUGUAGCGGGUCUGAGAGGAUGAUCCGCCACACUGGGACUGAGACACGGCCCAGACUCCUACGGGAGGCAGCAGUGGGGAAUAUUGGACAAUGGGGGGAACCCUGAUCCAGCCAUGCCGCGUGUGUGAAGAAGGCCUUAUGGUUGUAAAGCACUUUAAGCGAGGAGGAGGCUACCUAGAUUAAUACUCUAGGAUAGUGGACGUUACUCGCAGAAUAAGCACCGGCUAACUCUGUGCCAGCAGCCGCGGUAAUACAGAGGGUGCGAGCGUUAAUCGGAUUUACUGGGCGUAAAGCGUGCGUAGGUGGCUAAUUAAGUCAAAUGUGAAAUCCCCGAGCUUAACUUGGGAAUUGCAUUCGAUACUGGUUAGCUAGAGUAUGGGAGAGGAUGGUAGAAUUCCAGGUGUAGCGGUGAAAUGCGUAGAGAUCUGGAGGAAUACCGAUGGCGAAGGCAGCCAUCUGGCCUAAUACUGACACUGAGGUACGAAAGCAUGGGGAGCAAACAGGAUUAGAUACCCUGGUAGUCCAUGCCGUAAACGAUGUCUACUAGCCGUUGGGGUCUUUGAGACUUUAGUGGCGCAGCUAACGCGAUAAGUAGACCGCCUGGGGAGUACGGUCGCAAGACUAAAACUCAAAUGAAUUGACGGGGGCCCGCACAAGCGGUGGAGCAUGUGGUUUAAUUCGAUGCAACGCGAAGAACCUUACCUGGCCUUGACAUAGUAGAAACUUUCCAGAGAUGGAUUGGUGCCUUCGGGAAUCUACAUACAGGUGCUGCAUGGCUGUCGUCAGCUCGUGUCGU
rnacentral:rRNA from 1 species